rnacentral:lncRNA from 1 species
UGUGAGAACUGUCUUGAGUAAAGAAUAAAAAGUAAUCAUUUUCUUAGAGCCUGACUCAUAAUUCUUUAAUAUAAAAUAUAGUCGUGGUCAUUUGUUCUUCUAUUUUCUGUUGCUGAUUGCCCUCUGGGAUGAUUAUUACUGUCACUAGAGGAAGUGACUGCUGUGUCUUCCCCCUCCUCUUCCCUCCUACUCUGAAGAGAGCAAAAAGAUGAAGUGCACGCUGCGCAGUCACUCUGGCUCCCUUCCCACGUUCUAGUGCCAUUGGGUUAGUGAUUAACUCCAUCAGCACAAGCCUUAGCGCAUUGUCCUUGCUAAACUUGUCUAAUCCACCGAGAAGAUAGCAGUGGAUUUACAGUCUUGUAAAAGGGUGCUAGACAUGGCCCAACAGUGUGAGCAUUUGCUGAUCUUACCAAGGACCCAGGUUCUGUCCCUGCACCCACAUGGUGAAAACAGCGUCCAUUAGUCCAGUUCCAAGGGAUUAGAUACUGUCUUCUCACCCCCAACACCAAGAAACACAUAAUAUGCAUACAUACGUUCAGGCAAAACACCCAUACAUAUAAAAUAGAAAAUAAAUCUAUAAAAAGCAAGCUGUUACAAAAUUGAAACUAAUAAGUAUGCGAAUCUCUUCUUCCUCCUCCCAGUAUAACAUCCAAGCUUAUCCAACAACAGUGGUGUUCAACCAGUCCAGUGUUCAUGAGUAUGAAGGACAUCAUUCUGCGGAACAGAUCCUGGAGUUCAUAGAGGAUCUCAGAAACCCUUCCGUGGUCUCUCUUACACCCACCACUUUCAAUGAACUAGUUAAACAGAGAAAACAUGACGAAGUCUGGAUGGUUGAUUUCUAUUCUCCAUGGUGUCAUCCCUGUCAGGUCUUAAUGCCAGAGUGGAAACGCAUGGCCCGGACGUUAACUGGAUUGAUCAAUGUAGGCAGUGUGGACUGCCAACAGUAUCAUUCUUUUUGUACUCAAGAAAAUGUCCAGAGAUACCCUGAGAUAAGAUUUUAUCCCCAAAAGUCAAGUAGAGCUUAUCAGUAUCAUUACAAUGGCUGGAAUAGGGAUGCUUAUUCCCUGAGAAGCUGGGGUCUCGGGUUUUUACCCCAAGCAUCCAUAGAUUUAACACCUCAGACAUUCAACGAAAAAGUUCUACAAGGGAAAACUCACUGGGUGAUUGAUUUCUAUGCUCCUUGGUGUGGACCUUGCCAGAAUUUUGCUCCCGAGUUUGAACUCUUGGCUAGGAUGAUCAAAGGGAAAGUAAAAGCUGGGAAAGUGGACUGUCAGGCUUACCCCCAAACGUGC